rnacentral:rRNA from 1 species
UACAGAGGUCUCGAGCGUUAGGCGGAAUCACUGGGCUUAAAAGCGUGUGUAGGCGGAUCGUUAAGUGCCUUGUGAAAUCCCACGGCUCAACCGUGGAACUGCUUGGCAUACUGGCGGUCUUGAGCAACCUAGGGGCGAGCGGAACAAAUGGUGGAGCGGUGAAAUGCGUAGAUAUCAUUUGGAACGCCAAUGGUGAAAACAGCUCGCUGGGGGUUUGCUGACGCUGAGACACGAAAGCCAGGGGAGCAAACGGGG